rnacentral:rRNA from 1 species
CAUAUUUAGGUGACCGUACCGCAAACCGACACUGGUAGGUGGGUAGAGUAUACCAAGGGGAUCGAGAGAACCUUCGUUAAGGAAUUAGGCAAAAUGCCCCCGUAACUUCGGGAUAAGGGGGGCCUCUGCUGGUGAUACUAUUCGUUGAGCUGGUGGAGGCCGCAGAGAAACGGCUCUUUCAACUGUUUAACAAAAACACAGGUCUCUGCUAAGUCGAAAGACGAUGUAUAGGGGCUGACGCCUGCCCAGUGCUGGAAGGUUAAGGGGAGAGGUUAGCGAAAGCGAAGCUUUGAACCGAAGCCCCAGUGAACGGCGGCCGUAACAAUAACGGUCCUAAGGUAGCGAAAUUCCUUGUCGGGUAGGUUCCGACCCGCACGAAUGGCGUAAUGAGAGGAGCACUGUCUCAACGAGGGACUCGGCGAACAUUGAAGUACGUGUAAAGAUGCGCGUUACCCGCAGCAGGACAAAAAGACCCCGUGAAGCUUUACUACAGCUUGGCAUUGAGUUAGGGCUUAUCUUGUGUAGGAUAGGUGGGAGGCUUUGAAGCUGGGACGCCAGUCUCGGUGGAGCCAUCGUUGAAAUACCACCCUGGCUAAGUCUUGGCUCUAACCCGCGACCGUCAUCCGGCGUAGGGACAGUCCUGGUGGGUAGUUUGACUGGGGCGGUCGCCUCCGAAAGUGUAACAGAGGCGCCCAAAGGUUCCCUCAGGCUGAAUGGAAACCAGCCGUAGAGUGUAAAGGCACAAGGGAGCUUGACUGCAAGACAUACACGUCGCGCAGGUACGAAAGUAGGGCUUAGUGAUCCCACGGUUCCAUGUGGUAGGGCCGUGGCUUACCGGAUAAAAGCUACUCCGGGGAUAACAGGCUAGUCUUGUCCAAGAGUUCACAUCGACGACAAGGCUCGGCACCUCGAUGUCGGCUCAUCGCAUCCUGGGGCUGGAUAAGGUCCCAAGGGUUGGACUGUUCGUCCAUUAAAGCGGUACGUGAGCUGGGUUCAGACCGUCGUGAGACAGGUCGGUCUCUAUCCGCUGUGGGCGCAAGGGAUUUGAGAGGGGCGGCCCCUAGUACGAGAGGACCGGGGUGGGCAGACCUCUAGUGUGCCAGUUGUACCGCCAGGUGCAUCGCUGGGUAGCUACGUCUGGCAGAGAUAACCGCUGAAAGCACCUAAGCGGGAAACUUGCCUCAAGAUUAGAUCCCUCAUCCGUUAUGGAGUAAGACCGCUAGGAGACCACUAGCUUGAUAGGCGGCAAGUGUGAGUGCAGUAAUGUACUCAGCUAAGCCGUACUAAUGGUCGAGGGCUUACGAU